AUACGACUCUCGGCAACGGAUAUCUAGGCUCUCGCAUCGAUGAAGAACGUAGCAAAAUGCGAUACUUGGUGUGAAUUGCAGAAUCCCGUGAACCAUCGAGUUUUUGAACGCAAGUUGCGCCCGAAGCCUUAGGCUGAGGGCACGUCUGCCUGGGCGUCUCA
rnacentral:rRNA from 15 species